rnacentral:rRNA from 1 species
UCAUUUAAAGAAAGCGUAAUAGCUCACUGGUCGAGUCGGCCUGCGCGGAAGAUGUAACGGGGCUAAACCAUGCACCGAAGCUGCGGCAGCGACACUAUGUGUUGUUGGGUAGGGGAGCGUUCUGUAAGCCUGCGAAGGUGUGCUGUGAGGCAUGCUGGAGGUAUCAGAAGUGCGAAUGCUGACAUAAGUAACGAUAAAGCGGGUGAAAAGCCCGCUCGCCGGAAGACCAAGGGUUCCUGUCCAACGUUAAUCGGGGCAGGGUGAGUCGCACCCUAAGGCGAGGCCGAAAGGCGUAGUCGAUGGGAAACAGGUUAAUAUUCCUGUACUUGGUGUUACUGCGAAGGGGGGACGGAGAAGGCUAUGUUAGCCGGGCGACGGUUGUCCCGGUUUAAGCAUGUAGGCUG